AUUUUGGUCGCCAACGAGUGGCGGACGGGUGAGUAACACGUAGGUAACCUGCCCAGAAGCGGGGGACAACAUUUGGAAACAGAUGCUAAUACCGCAUAACARCGUUGUUCGCAUGAACAACGCUUAAAAGAUGGCUUCUCGCUAUCACUUCUGGAUGGACCUGCGGUGCAUUAGCUUGUUGGUGGGGUAAYGGCCUACCAAGGCGAUGAUGCAUAGCCGAGUUGAGAGACUGAUCGGCCACAAUGGGACUGAGACACGGCCCAUACUCCUACGGGAGGCAGCAGUAGGGAAUCUUCCACAAUGGGCGCAAGCCUGAUGGAGCAACACCGCGUGAGUGAAGAAGGGUUUCGGCUCGUAAAGCUCUGUUGUUAAAGAAGAACACGUAUGAGAGUAACUGUUCAUACGUUGACGGUAUUUAACCAGAAAGUCACGGCUAACUACGUGCCAGCAGCCGCGGUAAUACGUAGGUGGCAAGCGUUAUCCGGAUUUAUUGGGCGUAAAGAGAGUGCAGGCGGUUUUCUAAGUCUGAUGUGAAAGCCUUCGGCUUAACCGGAGAAGUGCAUCGGAAACUGGAUAACUUGAGUGCAGAAGAGGGUAGUGGAACUCCAUGUGUAGCGGUGGAAUGCGUAGAUAUAUGGAAGAACACCAGUGGCGAAGGCGGCUACCUGGUCUGCAACUGACGCUGAGACUCGAAAGCAUGGGUAGCGAACAGGAUUAGAUACCCUGGUAGUCCAUGCCGUAAACGAUGAGUGCUAGGUGUUGGAGGGUUUCCGCCCUUCAGUGCCGGAGCUAACGCAUUAAGCACUCCGCCUGGGGAGUACGACCGCAAGGUUGAAACUCAAAGGAAUUGACGGGGGCCCGCACAAGCGGUGGAGCAUGUGGUUUAAUUCGAAGCUACGCGAAGAACCUUACCAGGUCU
rnacentral:rRNA from 1 species